AAUCAUCUCAUCUAUUGGUAAGAUAACAAUCUCAUACAUUGGAUAAUUCGGUUCGAUUCCGAAGUUGGUUA
rnacentral:tRNA from 1 species